AUUGAACGCUGGCGGCAUGCCUUACACAUGCAGGUCGAACGGCAGCACGGGUGCUGCACCUGGUGGCGAGUGGCGAACGGGUGAGUAAUAUAUCGGAACGUACCUUAUUGUGGGGGAUAACGCAGCGAAAGCUGUGCUAAUACCGCAUAAUCCCUAAGGGGGAAAGCGGGGGACCGUAAGGCCUCGCGCAAUUAGAGCGGCCGAUACCUGAUUAGCUAGUUGGUGAGGUAAAGGCUCACCAAGGCAACGAUCAGUAGCUGGUCUGAGAGGACGAUCAGCCACACUGGGACUGAGACACGGCCCAGACUCCUACGGGAGGCAGCAGUGGGGAAUUUUGGACAAUGGGGGCAACCCUGAUCCAGCAAUGCCGCGUGAGUGAGGAAGGCCUUCGGGUUGUAAAGCUCUUUUGUCAGGGAAGAAACAGCAGCUCUAACACAGUUUGCGAAUGACGGUACCUGAAGAAUAAGCACCGGCUAACUACGUGCCAGCCGCCACAGUAA
rnacentral:rRNA from 1 species